rnacentral:lncRNA from 1 species
UUUAGGUCUCCCUAAAUUGCCCUGGGUUCAAGGAAUCCUUCCCUGCCUCAGCCUCCUGAGUAGCUGAUGCUGCAGUUACCAACAGCUGUUACAAGAGUGACCUGGGGGCCAGGAAGCAGCACAAUGCCUGCCUGGAAAGUUUUUGUCUCACUGAGAGGGCGCUGGGAUGGGACCCUAAGGGACCCGUGACCUGGAGGGGCUGUGAACUAGGACCUUCCUCGCACUUGGGUUUUACAGAGGUGAGUGCCCCACCCACCGCCCCUCCCUCGGACCCCCCAAAGCCUGCUUCCUGGGCGUCUCAGUCCAGCAGCUCCUGGAGCCUCCUCCCGCCCCACCUCCCUUAGCAUCCUCAGCAUCCCGGUCACCUGUGUGGAGCGUGAUGAGGAUGAGCAACAGCGUCCAGGCCAUGUCGGCGGGUGCUGCGGUUGGGGAGCUGUGUGACAUCUGAGAGAGGAUGCGGCGUGGCUGGAAGCGGCGUGGCUGGGGGCCGAGGAGGCGGUCCCCCGGGCGGCAUUAUUGGCUAAAAUUAUAUUGUAACAAUUUAUCCACCCAGCUAUGUUGGAGGGCGGGGAAUUGAAGGACACCCUGAGCGACAGGAACUCUAGCUGCAGCGAGGAGCCAAGGAGGAAGGCCCAGCCACUGCGACCAGACCUUCUGGGCAUCAAAGGGACAGGGCAGGGUAGUCACUUCCUGGGACAAAGAGGACUGACGCAUCACUUGCUGAGGACCUCCAGAAAUCCUGGUGGGGCCCUUGGCUGUGGGGAGCAGUGGGGGGAGCAGUGCAUCAGCUGCAGGGCCCCCGGGGAGGGGACGCUGCUGGCGGGGAAGUCCUUGGGCUCUGGGAAGUGGGACGGCGGCUGGGGCUUAGGUGCUGGCACAGUCAGGCCAGGCUGAGCGGGGAGAGGGGAGCCGGUGGGCCGCCGAGGAGGCCAGGAUGUGGUUCCACCACCUCUCAGGUUCAGGAAGAGCCCUUUACCCAGAACGAGCUGCCGGGAGCCCUGCAGCAACCGCCUUCCUCCCCUGCCCCUGCCGGGCCCGUCGUCCCACUGCUCCCCACAGUCCAGCGGCUCUGGGAUUUCUGUAAUGCAAGCCUGGGAGGAGAAGGCUGGCUGUGGGGCGGUGGAAAUGCGUUGGCACCGUUACCCUGGUGGUGUCACCUGGGUUUUGGCGGAGGGCCGAGUGCUGAUGGCGAGUUUGAACCAUUCUUCCUCAGGCCUCCACCAACAGAACCCACCCCAGCGAGGUCUGCUCACCUGCGCCUCCCGCCAGAUUCCAGCUUGUUCCGGUCCUUCGGCCUCCUCCUCUCGCUGCAUUCAUCCACCGCGGGGCUCAGAAGGAGAAAACUUUUCCGCUUCAACUACGGGAAACCCGCAGAAUGGGGAGGAGACAGCACCACCGGGGGCCCCUGGCCCGAGCUCCUGGAUGCUCUGAAUCCAACUGAACAGGCUGGAUCUUCCGUGGACACUUUGACCUUGGGGAGGAGCCAGACGUCACCCGGGCCCGUCCUGGUGGACAGGCAGCUGAGGACGCCCUGUCACGACUGCAUGGAUCUGCCUCUCAAGUUUGAACCCAGCCUGGGCAAUUUACCACCACUACUGGGGAUCGAACUCAGGACCUUGGACUUGGAAAGCAGGAGCGGCACCACUGAGCUAAAUCCCUGGCCCUGGUUCUUCUUUCUCUAA